CAGCUCAGCCGACAAUAAAUUCAAUGGAGUUUAGCUGCAGUACCAUACACAACCUGUGCACAGGGGUGGCGCUGUUUAUGGAAGAAAGCAGCCAUGUUUUUCCAGUUCUGUAUC